UACGAAGGACCCGAGCGUUAUCCGGAUUUAUUGGGUUUAAAGGGUGCGUAGGCGGACUUAUAAGUCAGUGGUGAAAUCUCCCCGCUCAACGGGGAAACUGCCAUUGAAACUGUUUGUCUUGAGUACAUUUGAGGCGGGCGGAAUGUGUCAUGUAGAGGUGAAAUUCUUAGAUAUGACACAGAACACCAAUUGCGAAGGCAGCUCGCUAAACUGUAACUGACGCUGAUGCACGAAAGCGUGGGGAGCAAACAGG
rnacentral:rRNA from 1 species